GGAGAGCCCUACAGGAAGUGGGAAUAGCUUAGUCUUACUUUGUGCUGCUUUAGCGUGGCAACAGUCUCUUCUUCGUGCCAGCGGAUGAAAGCUUAAGCGAAAAAGCUGAAGUGCCGUUGUCACGUCGUUGUACGUGCCACUCAAAGAGUGUUACAAACGAUGGCGAGGACCGAGGAGCUUCACGUCAUUUCAACAGUCCAAGUACACCACCUUCUGAAAGAAAUGGCACUUCAUCAACUUGUCAAGUACAACCAGCAGUGGCACAAUUCAGGGGUGUCUACAUGGACUCACCCACAGUGGGUGAUCCACAGUGGAUUCAGUGGAUCCCCUUGGAUGGCUUAAU